CUCCUGGCUUCGGAUCGGCACAGCGCCGGCUGUAGCACCAUUAGGGGAGUGAACCAACGGAAGGAAGACCUUUCUCUCUGUCUCUGUCUAUAACUCUCUCUCUGACUGUCUAUUUUUAUUUUUGUUGCCAGGCAGAGUUAAAGAAAAGAAAGAAAAGAGAAAGGAAGACCAACCAUUGUAAAAAUUGAAAUGGUGUAAAAUGCACACACAGAAGCACACAUGUGUACAUGGGCAGAUAGCAGAGACAAAGAUAUUUACUGUUUAUUUGACAGUUAGAGGGAGACAGAACCGAUCUUCCAUCCACUGGUUCAUUCCCCAAAUAGCCACAAUGGCCAGGGCUGUGCCAUUCUGAAGCUAGGAGCCCAGAGCUUCUUCCGGGUCACCCACAUGGGUGCAAAGGCCCAAGCACUUUGGCCAUCCUCUACUGCUUUCCCAGACCAUUAUCAGUGAGCUGGAUUGGAAGUGGAGCAGCUGGGACUUGAACCUGCACCAUAUGGGAUGAUGGCACUGCAGAUGCAAGCUAUACCUUCUACACCAUGGCACUGGCCCCGAGAAUGACUGGGAAGGGUGCUGCAGAGGUAGGUGCUCCUCCACUGAGGACGGGACUGCGCCCCACGAAUCACUGCAAGCUGGAAGCAGCAUAAACUGAGACACUCACACUACCGCAGUGAACACGGCAGAGCUUAGCCUGGCCCGCCUCCAAGGCACUCCGAACACUUACUGUGCAUACAGCCUGGCACAGUCACCUGACACAACCACUCUACAGUGCAGGACAUUUGUGCAACUUCUUGUCUACUGAAAGUGACACACAGAAUGGCUGCAUGAAUACACUUUUGCACCACUGUGAAGUCAAAAAACCUGAAGACGAACCACUGUAAGCGGGACCAGUUAUAUUCUGGCUGUCUGUGGCCCUAUUUGGCGGGGGGGGGGGGGCACAUUAGAUGGAUUUCUGCCCCAAAUGCAUGCCCAGAUGUGCAGUGUCUCUACAAACUCAGAGCAUUAGGCCAUAGCUAACUUUCUCCCAAACACCUGAACCUGACAGGUUCCUGCUUGCACUGGCUCCCUGAAUGUCUCCCGCCAACACCAGCUCCCGGAUUCUGUCUGCAGGUCCCAGGCAGAGGGUUCCCACUCAGCGGCCAACACUCCUGCCGGGCCUCACCACCACUCGCCGCAGUUGUGUGCUCUGGAGGGUUCCUCCCCCAGCUUGCCCAGGGACUGCAGACUAGAUCUGGCUGGAGAAAACCAGCCAACUUCCUGGCUGGGUGGGCCGAGUUCCAUUCUCCAUGGAGUUCUGAACCCCAGCCCUGGGAUGGGGUCUCUUACUAAGUUGAUACCAUAUAGAAUUCCUUUUAUCUUCUAGUUACUUGAUCAGAAUUGAGUAAUUCCUGGUGCUAAAUACUCCCUGUUCAACUCACUGGGUACAGCAACAGCAAUACCAAUGUUCUAGCAGGAAAUGCACCUGCCUUUCCACUGAGAGGAAUUCACUAUAUGGAGGAGAAGUAAAAACAAAUGAGCCAGUUUCCUCAUUUGCCACUUUUUUUCUUGCCUAAUUCUGAUUUCAUGGCGUGGCAAUCAGUCAAAGGCAACGAGCACACUCUUGUCUCUCGAGCUGGACUGUUCCAUCCGAGCCGAGACUAACAAAUCCGUGUGGGGGCCGCGCAAAAGGCUGACUGGGAUGAAUUUCAAUCAGAGCGGAAUUUCAGAUUACCCACACUUGGGAGUCUGAACCGAGUCUCUUGGAGGAAAAACAAUUAGUGCACUGGAGCCUGAGCAAGUGCUUAUUAGCUUGUUUAAAUUUAAAACCGAUCUAGAGAGGAGUCUGGGCAGGGGGCAACCUUGGGGGUUAUUUAAAAGUGGAGACAACACACACUUACAAUGCGGUAGCCAAUGACAGUAAACAUGAUAGGGCGUUGGACUUCUGAGACUCUGAAUUUCAACAAUUUUUAUUAAAAGGUUUUGAUUUAGAAGUAAGAAAACUGUUCAUGUACCCUCUGAUUUUAAAAUGGCCUUUAUCAUUUUAUCCCAUGCUUUAUCCCAAAGGGUUAAGGCAGCAAUAAAUACUUUAUCCUAAAUAAUCUUCUACUGGGUAGAAUGGCCCCUGUGACCACUUUAUGCCUUACUGAAGAUUAGUAAAUUAUUUCUGACCAAUGUUCCUUCUUCCUUCCAGUAGUAACAUAAAUAAACCUCAUGUCCUUAAAUAAUUCCAACUUAAUACAGAAAAAAUAAUUUCAACCUGACAGAAUAAAGCCAGCACUCUCAUGGACAACUAAACCAAAGACAAGCAAGUCUGGGACCAUAUAUAAAAAAGCCCACGUUUCCCAGGCCUCUAGAAAAAAGCCCGGGAUCUCAAUAAAUGAAAUUUGAAGGUGGAGCUCAAAGCCCCUGCCUCUGAUCAGAUGUGAACAAAGCAGGAACAGGAAGGACCUAGUAGGCGGUCCCGGCUGCUCCUCUCCAUUUGCUUCCAUGCAGCACCUGUUAAACCCUCACCCUCAACUGCGGAGACAGCCACCGAUUCUCGGGUUGACCCAAGACUCGCUCAUUCUCCAGUCUGGAAACCAGGUGUGCGGAUAAUGCAACCGGCAGCGUUGGUUCCCCUGGAGUGAAGCAGAACAGGCGUGGUUUCGACAGUGCGUGGAGAAGUGGGGGCCGAGUGGGCGGUCGGCCGGCAACCUGCCCAGGGACUUCUCCCGAGCCCCAGGGCGUGGAGGCCCUGUCCCUUCCUGCGGCUUCACAGGUCUCUGGGAGACCCUCACUGGGAAUAUUCCAAGAUUGACUCCCAAAUGACCACGGUCAUGGGCAAUUCUGAGAUGUCACAUGCCUCCUGGGACUGCCCAGCGGGCACGCUCCUAACCGCUGCACUCAGGGUCCGGGCGCAGGACACUGUGAGGAGGAAGCGUAGUGUUUACUAUAGACGAUCCUAACAGUAACAACGCAAAAGGAAAAAGGGAUAAACACAGGCUGCUUUUCUCAACGCCGACAAGCGGGUUGGUGAGUAUCGCAUCCACCUAGGAAUUAGAUUUCAAAGUCCCACUUGGAACCUCACUCAACAUUUCCACCUAACAAGAGCGGCUACAGCCCCAGGAGGGUGAGCCGGGCGGGUCUCUGCUGUGGGGUUACGACUUCUACAGCUAUGGAUCCGAAAGUCCUUGACAAAGACAAUGUGCACAGCGUCCUCUAGACACAGGCUUGGAAUCUGGGUGCCCAGGGUUCCCCUGCGGAUGCUGGCCGGCUGCGUCAGCCUGCUCUGACUGGCAGGACCCACGUGGGGGCAGCGGGACACCCAGGAUGCCCACCAGCUGGGGUGGAGCGCAGCCCCCGGACACAUCUGCUGGAUGCUCUGCUGUUCUGUAGCCGUGCAGGGGUUGUGGGUGCUGCUGCUGGUCCCCUGGGUUCCCAGGAGAUGGGGGCUCCGUAUGGGACGGCAGCUUCGAAGACACUCCUGGGGAACCAAGGUUCCUUCUUCAAUUCUAUCCGUGCAGUCACGGAGCGCAUAAGCCACGAACAAGGCAGCAGUGCUGGCUGACCGCUCCCAAGAAACUUCUGGGUGGUCUCUCGUUUCUACGGCAAUCAGAGGACAAAGGUACUAGGGACCAAAACUACAGUUUGGAUAUUCUCAACCAGAAGAUAAAAUUUCACUAAAAUGGACGGAGUCAAACCAAGGGCAUGGGGGAUGCUUGUCCUCGGACUCCCUGAAAGUUUCACUCUGGCUGGCUGCCUGGUAUCUGCAAACCCGAGUAAGAAAGGGAUUAGCCACGGAUCAGACACACGAAGAAACCAACUAGCCCACCCAGGCGCGGCCUGGGAUGUGCCACGGGCUCCAAGUACAAGCCCACCGCCACCUCCACCGGCGGUGACAGCGGAGGCCAGCCCCCGCCUGCCUUGCACUUCCCGUCUGUUUUACGAAGCUUACAGCCAGAGCUUAGGAGUCACCUACACAAGACUGUGCACAAUCAGUCUUCAGGAGCUGAGAGAAUUUCUAAUCAAGAAUGUAGCCAAUGGGGUUGGGAAAGUGUCAUGCAAACAGCCUGACUGUGGAUUUGGGGUUUCACGGCCCUGCCCACCACCACCAGGAAGCACGCGGAACGCUGGGCUGACCUGCGGCACAGAGCCUCCCUCCUGUGGCAGAGCAGGCAGCAGUAGACACUGGGACUCCUCCCCCCAAGGACGCAGCCAGGCGUGGACGUCCCCUGGUGUUUGUACAGCAAAGCCGGAGAGGCCAAGCGUGUAACGAAGAAGCGAGGCUCCACGCUGGGGGUGCGGCUAUCUUUGGAAUUCUUCAUUAAGGUUUUCACAAAAUACAAAGCUGAGACGGAACUCUAGGUCCACCACAAAGCUGAAUCAAGUGAGUGGUUAGCACACAAACACAAUGAUCUCUGUCAUCUUGAAAAAAUAUAAAUAACAACAGCAAGGCUCAUGUCUUCGCGAGUGUGUCUUUUUAAGGCUCUGUGUUGCAGACCCUGCUUCUGUGGACUGGCACCUGUGGCCAGGACACACUGCUUCCCCCAACCCCGGGCCAGGAAGGCCGCCGUGGGGACAUGCCCAAGGGCGACACAUGCUGGUCUACGUUGCCUCAGCUUGUUAGAAACUAAAGGAUCCAUCGACACCCCCCGCCACCCUGGGGUCUCCCGGUGUCGUUACCGUUCCUCCUACCACAGAGCAAUCGAGAGGCCGCGUUCCCAGCAGCACUCAAGCUCUCGGGAGGGCUAGAGAGGAAACUUCCUGUCACCCAGAGAACCCAUCACCCAUUCAGUCUGAACGUCUGUGCUGCAACAGCCUCUCAGAUUAAACAGUGCUCAGGGAAGGGACGGUGUGGCUGGCGUCCUAGAGGGGAGGCUCGCCGGCGAGGGCCGGGGGCAGGGCCGGGGCCCCAGCCUUGGGGGUGAAGCCCGAGGGCAGGCUCUCCAGCAGGCACUUGACCUGCUCCUGGCCCAGCUUGAUCUUGUCGUCCAGCUUCCGCUGCUCGAUGAGGAGCGUGGACUUCAUCUUCACGAAGUGCUGGUAGUCCUGGAGCUGCUCCUCCGACAGGUAGUUGGCCAGGAUGUCCAGCACCACGCGCUCGCGGCGGUCCAGGUUCUCCUUGAGCUCGCGGGCGUCCUCGUGCUGGCUGGCCAGGAUCUUCCUCUUCUGGUGCAGAGAGCUCUGCGGGGCAAAACACACAGGUCAGCUAAGGGCCGGGCAGGAGCCGGGCCCCUAAACAAGGGAGCCUCUUCCGGGACGCGAAAUGGCUGUUUUCUAGCCUGCUUGUCCCUCCAGACACUGACGACCAGCCCGGCAUUCUGAGGCUGCGUACCACACUCUCCCACUUGUACAGUCAUUCAGGAGCUCCACACUGACAGGGGCUAGGUCUUGGCUGGGGACUCGACUUUUGGGGUCAAGGCUUAAAAAAACAGCCAACAUGUUGCCUUAAAUAAAUGCUUACAAGGGUACUGCAAGAUGAAAUUGAAAGUAUGCAUUUACAGGGCCGGCACUGUGGGGCAGGUGAAGCCUCUGUCUGCGGUGCUGGCAUCCCAAAUGGGUGCCAGUUUGAGUCUGGGCUGCUCUAUUUCCAAUCCAGCUCCCUGCUAAUGCACCUGGGAAAGCAGCAGAAAAUGGCCCAAGUGCUUGAGUCCCUGCACCCAGUUGGGAGACCCAAAAGAAGCUCCUGGCCUCAGCCUGGCCCAGCCCUGGCUGUUGCAGCCAUUUGGAGGAGUGAACCAGUGGAUGGAAGAUCUGUUUCUCUCCUAUUUUUGCCUUUCAAAUAAAUAAAUCUUUUUAAGUAUGCA